AUUGAACGCUGGCGGAAUGCUUUACACAUGCAAGUCGAACGGCAGCACGGACUUCGGUCUGGUGGCGAGUGGCGAACGGGUGAGUAAUGUAUCGGAACGUGCCCAGUCGUGGGGGAUAACGUGGUGAAAAUUACGCUAAUACCGCAUACGAUCUAUGGAUGAAAGCGGGGGAUCGCAAGACCUUGCGCGAUUGGAGUGGCCGAUAUCAGAUUAGGUAGUUAGUGGGGUAAAGGCCCACCAAGCCAACGAUCUGUAGCUGGUCUGAGAGGACGACCAGCCACACUGGAACUGAGACACGGUCCAGACUCCUACGGGAGGCAGCAGUGGGGAAUUUUGGACAAUGGGCGAAAGCCUGAUCCAGCCAUUCCGCGUGCAGGAUGAAGGCCCUCGGGUUGUAAACUGCUUUUGUACAGAACGAAAAGGUUUCUACUAAUACUAGGAGCUCAUGACGGUACUGUAAGAAUAAGCACCGGCUAACUACGUGCCAGCCGCCGCCGUAA
rnacentral:rRNA from 1 species